GGAGAAAAGCCUGAGGGCCGUAACGCUGUUGAGAUCCUACCCACAGGAUACUGGUGAGACGCAACCGAGCUGAGAUGGCGGUUCUUGCUCACCUAGGUCCCUAAUUGCCUGAUGACUGGUCCAAAGUUCCACAAGAAGCAAAGUUAUCCCUGAUGUGCUGCUAACCCACCUGCCCUGGACAAGGCCGAGGCUUGGGCCACAAACAGGAAAAGCCCCCCAGGCCACCACAGAGUUGAUGUAACUGCUGGUUCCUCCUUGUGCGAUCAGUUGAAAAAUAAGGACCAUGGAAGGGAGAAUCUCACAGGCUGCAGCAACAGUACUGCAGUUCAUACGUUGUCUCCAGUCCGGAUGUACUAAGCGUGUACAUCCAGGAGUAGUCGGACUGUGAAUCUUAUUAUCCAAGAUCCAUCUACUAGUCCCACCUGUGAUAGGGCUGUGGCAGAGCUGGAGCCAAUCCUCACUGACAACAACAUGUGGUUUACAUGCUGAACAGGAGUGGUCUCGCUGCCCAUUACCAUCCUCCCUGCAUUGAGUCCAGCCUCCUCUUCCAGCUCAGCAUCAGCCCCAACCUGGUUUUUGGCACUCAUAUGGGGCUGGGAGGGCCCGGCGCCCGAGGCAUGACCACCACUGUGGAGCAUCAGUCGCCGCUGAAGCACCGGAUCACCUGACUUCACCUCCAACACCUCUUCAUCCCUGGAGGCUUGCAGCGUACCUGG